GCAGGUUGAGCUGGACGAGUUCUCGCAGAAGUAUGAUGAUGAAGUGGACAAAUGUGAAGACUUACAGAGACAACUAGCAGAACAAGAUAAAGAAUACAUUCCGUUGAUGGCUGAGCGCGAGGAAGAAUAUCACCAGGAGAUGACGGAGAAGAUGAACAAGUUCCUGAUGGAGCACGCCGCGAGGGUCAUCCAGCACGCCUGGAGGGAGGUCCUCAUCAACCGCGCAGAAAAGAAAAAGUUGAGGAAAUUAUUGAAGAAGAUACAAUCUGCCGCACCGCCACUCGAACUCUUGGCCGGGAAGAAAGGAAAGAAAUAAAUUCACUACGAUAUUUGAAUUCGAAUCGUUAAUUAUGGUCGUAUAUCAGUAUUUUUUUUUAAUAAUUUACUUUAAUACAUUGGAGUAAUAAAACGAAU